AGGAGCAACCCCAGUGGCGGAGGCCAGGUGUCCAGCCCUGGAUUCAGCCCCCGCAGUUACUUCGGAGCUUUCCGUCUGCAGGGCCUGGUUGCUCCGGGGGCGG
rnacentral:pre_miRNA from 1 species